GCUGGGGAGCAGCAGAAAAUACACCCAACAGUUGUUUCAGAAAGGCUGUGACCUGGGUUGGGUCCGGGACUACAUAGGGCUGCCCUGACGCGCACCUGUUAUGACGGGUGUACCUGAACUCUUCCUUUCUGGCGUCGUCUUAAGGCCCCGCGACCUGGACAGCGGAGGCUUCUGGGAGUUUGAGUCCUGCUUGUUUCCGGGAAUGCUAGUACUCCACCUCCCAGCGUGCCAUUUUAUGCGACGUGGUGUCUCCUGGGAGAUGAAGUUUCACCAUAAGCGAUUUUGUGGAGCAGCCCCUUGAUUCGGAAAUACAACUUUCUUGUGGUCCUGUGUUCUUGGCUGCCAGCCUUUGCAUCAAUCUGCUGUGAGCUGCUUUGAAGCUCAGCAAAGAAGGGAAUCCAUUGAGAGUCGUCUGCAAAGGUACCCAGGACCACCUGCCUGCCUAGACCCUGUGUAAGAGCUGUGUGCAUCCUGCCACUGAGGAAGCAAUCAUCGGACAGGGCAUCCUGAACUGUGUGCUUCCACCUGACCACUCGCUGCAAGAUGAUCAGGCAAGGUGCCGACAGCUCAG